GAGCUCAGUAAUGAGGGAACCAUGAUUCAGAAGGACUCAUGAGACCAGCCUUACUUUGGACCACAAUGUAGCUACUUGGUUGACCUCCGUGUGGUCUGGUCAGUUCUGGGGGCUGAGAGUGAAACUUGGCCUGCAAAGCUUCCCUGAACUGUUCCUCCUGAGGUAACUCCCAUUUCCCAGAAAAUAUAUUUCUCUUCCCACAUGCUUUACCCCUUGUUUCAGAAGGAAUGUCAAGUUUGAUGACUGCUUAAAACUGAUUCGGUUUCCAACAUCUGGUAAUAUUGUCUUAGCUACUUACCUGGUUGAAAUACAAUGUCGAGAGGAACUGAACACUCCUUUUCUCAGAACAGAUCUGAAUGCAGCGUACUGAUUGGUUUCACGUCCAAGAGCCUCUUAUGCUUUCUGCAUCUUUCAAACUCGGAUGCUUGCCUGGCUUGUGGUACUCUGAAUUGGGCGAGACGAGCAAACCGUGUAUUAGCAGCCAUUGCAGCCUGAAGCUUUGCUUUAUCUCAUCUGGGACUUGUGUUGCACACACAUUGGAGAAGACACAUGCCCAGUGGUGUGGCGGAAUGGGCACUGAAUGGACCCACCCCAGCACAGUGCAACUAUAAACCCAGACAAUCCACAAAGAUCAACAAAGGGAUAUGGAGAGUGAACAAAGGGAUACGCAGGCAGAGGGAGUUGAACGUCAGAGGAAGGUGUCCAGUUUUGAAAGCUGUACUGUGUUGGGCACUGGGAAAAUAAAGAAGCCUCCUGACUGCUCCUCAUAUGAGC
rnacentral:lncRNA from 1 species